GAACGGCAGCACGGGAGCAAUCCUGGUGGCGAGUGGCGAACGGGUGAGUAAUACAUCGGAACGUGUCCUGGAGUGGGGGAUAGCCCGGCGAAAGCCGGAUUAAUACCGCAUACGCUCUGAGGAGGAAAGGGGGGGAUCUUAGGACCUCUCGCUCAAGGGGCGGCCGAUGGCAGAUUAGCUAGUUGGUGGGGUAAAGGCCUACCAAGGCGACGAUCUGUAGCUGGUCUGAGAGGACGACCAGCCACACUGGGACUGAGACACGGCCCAGACUCCUACGGGAGGCAGCAGUGGGGAAUUUUGGACAAUGGGCGCAAGCCUGAUCCAGCAAUGCCGCGUGUGUGAAGAAGGCCUUCGGGUUGUAAAGCACUUUUGUCCGGAAAGAAAACACGCCUGUUAAUACCGGGUGUGGAUGACGGUACCGGAAGAAUAAGCACCGGCUAACUACGUGCCAGCAGCCGCGGUAAUACGUAGGGUGCAAGCGUUAAUCGGAAUUACUGGGCGUAAAGCGUGCGCAGGCGGUUCGUUAAGACAGAUGUGAAAUCCCCGGGCUUAACCUGGGAACUGCAUUUGUGACUGGCGGACUCGAGUAUGGCAGAGGGGGGUAGAAUUCCACGUGUAGCAGUGAAAUGCGUAGAGAUGUGGAGGAAUACCGAUGGCGAAGGCAGCCCCCUGGGCCAAAUACUGACGCUCAUGCACGAAAAGCGUGGGGAGCAAACAGGAUUAGAUACCCUGGUAGUCCACGCCCUAAACGAUGUCAACUGGUUGUCGGGUCUUUCAUUGACUUGUAACGAAGCUAACGCGUGAAGUUGACCGCCUGGGGAGUACGGUCGCAAGAUUAAACUCAAUGAAAUUGACGGAACU
rnacentral:rRNA from 1 species